UUUGAGGCGCAUCAUGACUAGCUCCGUCACUGUUGGAACUAUGUUGUUGGAAAUGCCUCAAAGAGCAAAACUGUGGUUUCGCUUUACCCACAUGUUCAUUUCAAUUGAGCUAUGUGGGAUACAGCCACAGGAAAUUU